AACGAACGCUGGCGGCAGGCUUAACACAUGCAAGUCGAACGGUUGUAGCAAUACAGCAGUGGCAGACGGGUGAGCAACACGUGGGAACCUUCCUAGGGGUACGGAACAACUCAGGGAAACUUGAGCUAAUACCGUAUACGUCGGUGAGGAGAAAGAUUUAUCGCCAUUAGACGGGCCCGCGUCGGAUUAGCUAGGUGGUGGGGUAACGGCCUACCAAGGCGACGAUCCGUAGCGGAUCUUAUAGGAUGAUCAGCCACACUGGGACUGAGACACGGCCCAGACUCCUACGGGAGGCAGCAGUGGGGAAUCUUGGACAAUGGGCGCAAGCCUGAUCCAGCCAUGCCGCGUGAGUGAAGAAGGUCUUCGGAUUGUAAAGCUCUUUUGCCAGGGACGAUAAUGACGGUACCUGGAGAAUAAGCCCCGGCAAACUUCGUGCCAGCAGCCGCAGUAA
rnacentral:rRNA from 1 species